rnacentral:lncRNA from 1 species
CUCGGCGAAGGGCUAUAAUUAGAUUAGCAGCCUGCUCAGCAGCGGUGCCAGCCUGCGAGCCUCAGCGAGCAUGUGCUGGAUUCUGCAUGUGCCUCCCGCUUAUUGGCGGCCGGGGUUGCUGCCUGCCGGUUUGAUAGGUUUCCCCAGUAAUCUUUAUGCUGCAUUACAGACAUAGAUACAGAGGUACUGCGUGCAUACAACGGGAGAGGUGCUCAGCUUGUAGCGUAAAAGAAAGCCCACAGAUGAAAGGCACUGGUCUUUGUUGCAAAGCAUCAAUACUUAAGGACUGCUAGCUGGGAGCAGAGAGGUCUUACUAGUAGCAGCAAUGACAUUGGGGAAUUAUCUAGAGACAAAAAAAUAAUCCUCUGGAGCAUUACAUUCCCCUGUUUGGAGUGUGGACAAGAGUUUGGCAUUCUACUUUCACAGAUCGCUGCCGCUCGCUCGUGGAGCGCAGAGGGGACGGCGAGACUCCCACAUCUUUCAGCGAGAAGAAAGGAGCCAGCGGAGCAGACUAAUACGGACUUGUGUCGGGUGCCCUUGCCCUACAAAGGCUGCCUUUAAAAGAGAAACGCAGUGCUAUUUAAUGAGCUGUGAGAUGAGGCACUGCUGCUAACGCUCAGAUCCCAGGAUUCAUCGGCUAUUCAUUGUGCUUAAUGUACAUGUUUCUGCACCGUGCAUUUAGGAGAUCCCAGAGAAGAAUCCAAAACGGCUG